rnacentral:rRNA from 1 species
AGCGAACGCUGGCGGCAGGCCUAAUACAUGCAAGUCGAACGGCUCUUCGGAGCAGUGGCGGACGGGUGAGUAACGCGUGGGAAUGUGCCCUUAGGUACGGAACAACACAGGGAAACUUGUGCUAAUACCGUAUGUGCCCUUCGGGGGAAAGAUUUAUCGCCUUUGGAGCAGCCCGCGUUGGAUUAGGUAGUUGGGGAGGUAAAGGCUCACCAAGCCGACGAUCCAUAGCUGGUCUGAGAGGAUGACCAGCCACACUGGGACUGGGACACGGCCCAGACUCCUACGGGAGGCAGCAGGAGGCAAUCUUGCGCAAUGGGCGAAAGCCUAACGCAGCCAUGCCGCGUGUAUGAUGAAGGUCUUAGGAUUGUAAAAUACUUUCACCGGGGAAGAUAAUGACGGUACCCGGAGAAGAAGCCCCGGCUAACUUCGUGCCAGCCGCCGCGGUAAUAC